rnacentral:rRNA from 1 species
CCCGAGGAUGGGACUGCGGCCUAUCAGGCUGUUGGCGGUGUAACGGACCACCAAACCUACAACGGGUACGGGCGAUGGGAGUCGGAGCCCGGAGAUGGGGACUGAGACAAGGCCCCAGGCCCUACGGGGCGCAGCAGGUACGAAAACUCCGCAAUGCGCGAAAGCGUGACGGGGGAACCCCAAGUGCCGUUGGUCUUUGAUCGACGGCUUUUAGGGAGUCUAAGAAGCUCCCAGAAUAAGGGCUGGGCAAGUCGGGUGCCAGCCGCCGCGGUAAUACCCGCAGCCCAAGUAGUGGUCGCGAUUAUUGGGCCUAAAGCGCUCGUAGCCGGGUCAGCAAGUCCCUUGUGAAAUCGGGCGGCCUAACCGUUCGGCUUGCAAGGGAUACUGUUGGUCUUGAGGCCGGGAGACGUCUGAGGUACUCCGGGGGUAGCGGUAAAAUGCUGUAAUCCUCGGGGGACCACCAGUGGCGAAGGCGUCAGACGAGAACGGACCUGACGGUGAGGGGCGAAGGCUAGGGGAGCGAACGGGAUUAGAUACCCCGGUAGUCCUAGCUGUAAAGGAU